rfam:Schistocephalus solidus strain NST_G2 genome assembly, scaffold: SSLN_scaffold0008770
AACUAUCAUGCGGUGAAUCACUGGGCUCGUGUGUCGAUGAAGAGCGCAGCCAGCUGUGUGAAUUAAUGUGAAUCGCAGACUGCUUUGAACAUCGACCUCUUGAACGCAAAUUGCGGCCGUAGGCUUGCCUAAGGCCACGUCUGCCCGACGGUCG